GCCGCUAAGCCCGGCAAGCCUCUGGCCAGGCAAAAUCGGACUGAUCAUGAUCAUGGGGCACCGCUCGUCACGAUCUUGCAGGCCCUCGUAAUGCGUAGGUCUCGGGUUCGAAUCCCGAAGGCGGCUCCA
rnacentral:tRNA from 2 species